CCUACGUGAGGCUGCAGUAGGGAAUCUUCCACAAUGGGCGAAAGCCUGAUGGAGCAACGCCGCGUGGGUGAAGAAGGUCUUCGGAUCGUAAAACCCUGUUGUUAGAGAAGAAAGUGCGUGAGAGUAACUGUUCACGUUUCGACGGUAUCUAACCAGAAAGCCACGGCUAACUACGUGCCAGCAGCCGCGGUAAUACGUAGGUGGCAAGCGUUAUCCGGAUUUAUUGGGCGUAAAGGGAACGCAGGCGGUCUUUUAAGUCUGAUGUGAAAGCCUUCGGCUUAACCGGAGUAGUGCAUUGGAAACUGGGAGACUUGAGUGCAGAAGAGGAGAGUGGAACUCCAUGUGUAGCGGUGAAAUGCGUAGAUAUAUGGAAGAACACCAGUGGCGAAAGCGGCUCUCUGGUCUGUAACUGACGCUGAGGUUCAAAAGCGUGGGUAGCAAACAGGAUUAGAUACCCGUGUAGUC
rnacentral:rRNA from 1 species